UUACUUGCUUUGGAAAGUCAGCUUGUCCUACCCCACAGACCUGUUGCAGCUGGGCAGCGGCAGUACAAGCUCCACACACUUUUACUCAUUUGCCUGAGAUCUGAACAGCUGGAAAAACCAUACCAUUUAAUUGAAGAGUGUGCUGUUCAGUCUCCAGGCCCAUUUAAUCCUUAAUAUAU
rnacentral:sRNA from 1 species